rnacentral:misc_RNA from 1 species
GAUGAAGAACGUAGCGAAAUGCGAUAAGUAGUGUGAAUUGCAGAAUUCAGUGAAUCAUCGAAUCUUUGAACGCACAUUGCGCCCCUUGGUAUCCCGAGGGGAAUGCCUGUUCGAGCGUCAUUUCACCACUCAAGCCUGGCUUGGUGUUGGGCGACGUCCUCUUUGGGGACGCGCCUCGAAACGCUCGGCGGCGUGGCACCGGCUUUAAGCGUAGCAGAAUCUUUCGCUUUGGAAGUCGGGGCCCCGUCUGCCGGAAGACCUGCUCGCAAGGUUGACCUCGGAUCAGGCAGGGAUACCCGCUGAACUUAAGCAUAUCAAUAAGCGGAGGA